rnacentral:tRNA from 1 species
GGAUCCUUAGCUCAGCUGGUUAGAGCACUCGGCUCAUAACCGAUUGGUCGUAGGUUCAAGUCCUACAGGAUCCACCA